GAGGGUCCACCCGUUCCCAUCCCGAACACGGAAGUUAAGCUCGCUUCUGCCCACGAUACUUGGCUGGAGACGGCCCGGAAAAAUAGGUAGCGCCAACA
rnacentral:rRNA from 1 species